rnacentral:rRNA from 1 species
UAACACGAAAGUGGACGUAUACGGUGUGACGCCUGCCCGGUGCCGGAAGGUUAAUUGAUGGGGUUAUCGCAAGAGAAGCUCCUGAUCGAAGCCCCGGUAAACGGCGGCCGUAACUAUAACGGUCCUAAGGUAGCGAAAUUCCUUGUCGGGUAAGUUCCGACCUGCACGAAUGGCGUAAUGAUGGCCAGGCUGUCUCCACCCGAGACUCAGUGAAAUUGAACUCGCUGUGAAGAUGCAGUGUACCCGCGGCAAGACGGAAAGACCCCGUGAACCUUUACUACAGCUUUGACACUGAACAUUGAGCCUUGAUGUGUAGGAUAGGUGGGAGGCUUUGAAGCGUGGACGCCAGUCUGCGUGGAGCCGACCUUGAAAUACCACCCUUUAAUGUUUGAUGUUCUAACCUGGCGCCAUAAUCUGGCGUGGGGACAGUGUCUGGUGGGUAGUUUGACUGGGGCGGUCUCCUCCCAAAGUGUAACGGAGGAGCACGAAGGUCAGCUAAUCCUGGUCGGACAUCAGGAGGUUAGUGCAAUGGCAUAAGCUGGCUUGACUGCGAGAGUGACGGCUCGAGCAGGUGCGAAAGCAGGCCAUAGUGAUCCGGUGGUUCUGUAUGGAAGGGCCAUCGCUCAACGGAUAAAAGGUACUCCGGGGAUAACAGGCUGAUACCGCCCAAGAGUUCAUAUCGACGGCGGUGUUUGGCACCUCGAUGUCGGCUCAUCACAUCCUGGGGCUGAAGUAGGUCCCAAGGGUAUGGCUGUUCGCCAUUUAAAGUGGUACGCGAGCUGGGUUUAGAACGUCGUGAGACAGUUCGGUCCCUAUCUGCCGUGGGCGCUGGAGAAUUGAGGGGGGCUGCUCCCAGUACGAGAGGACCGGAGUGGACGCAUCACUGGUGUUCGGGUUGUCAUGCCAAUGGCACUGCCCGGUAGCUAAAUGCGGAAGAGAUAAGUGCUGAAAGCAUCUAAGCACGAAACUUGCCCCGAGAUGAGUUCUCCCUGAGACUAUAAGUCUCCUGAAGGAACGUUGAAGACGACGACGUUGAUAGGCCGGGUGUGUAAGCGCAGCGAUGCGUUGAGCUAACCGGUACUAAUGAACCGUGAGGCUUAACCUU